CCUACGGGAGGCAGCAGUGGGGAAUAUUGGACAAUGGGGGGAACCCUGAUCCAGCCAUGCCGCGUGUGUGAAGAAGGCCCUCGGGUUGUAAAGCACUUUCAGUGAGGAAGAACGCCUGGUGGUUAAUACCCAUCAGGAAAGACAUCACUCACAGAAGAAGCACCGGCUAACUCCGUGCCAGCAGCCGCGGUAAUACGGAGGGUGCGAGCGUUAAUCGGAAUUACUGGGCGUAAAGCGCGCGUAGGUGGCUUGAUAAGCCGGUUGUGAAAGCCCCGGGCUCAACCUGGGAACGGCAUCCGGAACUGUCAAGCUAGAGUGCAGGAGAGGAAGGUAGAAUUCCCGGUGUAGCGGUGAAAUGCGUAGAGAUCGGGAGGAAUACCAGUGGCGAAGGCGGCCUUCUGGACUGACACUGACACUGAGGUGCUAAAGCGUGGGUAGCAAACAGGAUUAGAUACCCUGGUAGUC
rnacentral:rRNA from 1 species